rnacentral:rRNA from 1 species
GAUAAACGCUAGCGGCAGGCCUAACACAUGCAAGUCGAGGGGCAGCGGGUGGAGUAUUUCGGUACUCCUGCCGGCGACCGGCGCACGGGUGCGUAACGCGUAUGCAACCUACCUUUAACAGGGGGAUAAUCCGAAGAAAUUUGGUCUAAUACCCCAUAAUAUCAUUUAAGGCAUCUUAGAUGGUUGAAAAUUCCGAUGGUUAGAGAUGGGCAUGCGUUGUAUUAGCUAGUUGGUGAGGUAACGGCUCACCAAGGCUACGAUACAUAGGGGGACUGAGAGGUUUUCCCCCCACACUGGUACUGAGACACGGACCAGACUCCUACGGGAGGCAGCAGUGAGGAAUAUUGGUCAAUGGACGCAAGUCUGAACCAGCCAUGCCGCGUGCAGGAUGAAGGUGCUAUGCAUUGUAAACUGCUUUUGUACGAGGGUAAAUGCAGGUACGUGUAC